rnacentral:piRNA from 1 species
AACACACCUGUUCAAGGAUU